rnacentral:lncRNA from 1 species
UACGGUUGUAUAGCCUAAAUCAUCAUCAUCUUCUUCUUCUUCAAGUCACCAUGGUGGAGGGUGUUUGGUUUAUAAGAAAGAAAAUUCGUUGUGGUGCUUAAAUGUCAUCCUGGCCUUGAAACUAAAAUAUGGUCAUUUUGCAUUUUUAAAAAUAUUAAAUAUACAUGCAAUUUAGUUUUAAAUACUUUUCCUCAACAUGCAGCUCAUUACAUUCUACGGCAACUAGAUUGCUUUGUCGAACCUGGGAGACUAAUGAUCGAGCCUUUGGGAGUUUGCAAGUGAACUUUUCACUCUACACUUUCCUGUAUCUCCAUUGCAACAAAUAUUAUUUUAGGUGGAC